CAUACGAUCCAACCUCGGCAUCGAGGAUGGAUGAAAGGUGGCCUCUAUUUAUAAGCUAUCACUGAAGGAGGGGAUUGCGUCUGAUUAGCUAGUUGGAGGGGUAACGGCCCACCAAGGCGAUGAUCAGUAGCCGGUCUGAGAGGAUGAACGGCCACAUUGGGACUGAGACACGGCCCAGACUCCUACGGGAGGCAGCAGUGGGGAAUCUUCCGCAAUGGACGAAAGUCUGACGGAGCAACGCCGCGUGAGUGAUGACGGCCUUCGGGUUGUAAAGCUCUGUUAAUCGGGACGAAUGGUUCUUGUGCGAAUAGUGCGAGGAUUUGACGGUACCGGAAUAGAAAGCCACGGCUAACUACGUGCCAGCAGCCGCGGUAAUACGUAGGUGGCAAGCGUUGUCCGGAAUUAUUGGGCGUAAAGCGCGCGCAGGCGGAUCAGUCAGUCUGUCUUAAAAGUUCGGGGCUUAACCCCGUGAUGGGAUGGAAACUGCUGAUCUAGAGUAUCGGAGAGGAAAGUGGAAUUCCUAGUGUAGCGGUGAAAUGCGUAGAUAUUAGGAAGAACACCAGUG
rnacentral:rRNA from 1 species